GGCGGCGCCAGUGAGGACAACCGAGAGAGGAGGCCGAGCCGGCGGGAGAGGCCGAGCGGGUCAGCUCGUAGUUCUUUAAGAUCCGGGAUGCCCUACAAGCUGAAAAAAGAGAAGGAGCCUCCAAAAUCUACUAAAAGCACUACAAAGGCUAGCAGCAGCAGUGGAAAAGAUGGAGGUAAUGCAACAGAGAAUUCAGAAGAGAUCCAGCAGCAACAG